rnacentral:lncRNA from 1 species
CAAUUUAACCCUGACUGGACUCAGUAUUGUACCAGGUAGGGCCUGGGUGGUGGCAGCGAGAAAUAAAGUGGUGGCACAGGGAUCAAUAGACAGUGAAACGUCCAGGGACCCUGUGUGAUCGCCACACCAGGCGGCACUCACCACUUGGCCUGCAGUGCACCUGAGCCAUGUGCCUCUCCUGGGAGUGACGCGGUGGCUUGGGCGCCUGCAGGCUCUGCGCUACCCCAAACGAUCCGUCCGCUGCCUCCCCCUCAGCUGUAGGGCGGCUGAGUGGGAGGAGGCAGGCAGACUCUGGAGGCCCCGCAGUGCACCCUGCCCCAAUGGGCAGCUUGCCCCACCCCUGGGUGUGCCGUCCCAGGCACCCAAGAGGCUUCCUCUGCUGCUGAGCCCAUCCUCAGGAGUUUAGAUUUUGCACCCACUUCCUCAAUGCAAAAUACUUUACUUUUUUCCAUUGGUCAAAAUCUGUAUGAUAUAGAUCCUUCUUCAUGGCUAGCAUUUCAGCUGCGUAACCCCCAGUCCCAUUUGAGUUCCACUCUCUCAUUUAUGAAAGGCUUUGGCCCAUGCUAGAUGUGUGCGCUUCAGUAAAUGUCUUAAUUUUUUGCUGCAGAAUUUUGCUGCAGAAUUUUUCAGCACCGCUAAAGACUUAAUGCAGCUGCCCAUCUGAAAUGCAUCUCUUUUUAUGGACUUAUUUUUGUUUAUUCUAUUUGUAUCUCUACCUCCUUCUAGGGAGCUUAAUGCCUUACUAAAAGCUAACAGUAAAGUACUAAAAGCUAACAGUAAAGUUUGAGAACUGUAAAUAAUUCCAAUUGUCUCAUCUUUGUUUUUGUUUCACAACUACACCACAAACCUAAAUGAUCAGUUCCUCUUUCCCAGGAAAUCCUGGGAACCUUAACCCUCCAGGAAAUCUGUAGGAGAAUAGCAAGGGAGAGGUUUGGGAGUGAUCAAGGAGAGGUUUUUGGUUCAAUCAAGCUCACAUUCAUUAAGUGCAGCAGAUCUCUAGGGGAACCCAAACAGGAGUAGCUUUAGCAUUCCUGGUUACUUUGGAGGGGUUCCACAACUGGAAUAAAACAAUUAUGUUUGUUAUCCUAUAGAUACGCCCUAAAUGCUGGUUUUACACAUCUAACUCACUCUGGCUUCUUUCUUGUAUUUGAGAUGUUGGGAGGGUUUGUUGGCUACAUUUGGAUAUUGCUGAAGCUGUGAAACAGAUCCCAACACCGAGAGCACGAAAAGAAAAGAAAUAGCAUAUGGAAUAUUGAAAAUCUCCCCUUGCAUGGGAGGAAAAGAAACCCCAGUUUGGUUAAGUGCUCACAAAGAUGUUUCCUUGCUCCAUGUGGCUGCCCUGUACAAUUGCAUACACUGAGGAAAGUGGGUGUCAUUCUGAACAAAUACAACCUAUCACUACAGAAGGCUUUGUUGCUGAUCAUGCAAAAGAGGGGGCACUGAGAAAGGGCACUUAAUAAGUGUGCCUAUAUCAUAUACUCUUUCCUCGCCUAUAAAAGUAACCUACCCGACACUGCCCCCUGCAGCUUUUUCAGCAUCAAGCAAUGGAGGGUUUUGCUUUCACAAGUGAUUAUUUCUCUCUCUCUCUCUCUCAACAUCUUAGACACUCCUUCCCUUAACUGACAUCUCUCAUACACAUUCCUUUUGUCCAACACCCUGUCAUCAUGAGAAUAUGUUCCAAGCAACCUUUGGCUGCAGCUGGGAAAGGAGUAUUGUCUACUGUAAGCUCUUUAAUAAAUUUUAUGUCAUAGGGUCAAACAAGCUCUAGUCUGAACUGAUCGAGAUCUUUAGGUAUUCAUGGAAGCAGUUUUCCUUGUACAUGAAGCCUUUGGUUUUGGACUGCCCCAUUCACUUGGAUGGAAUGGAUGGGGCUGUGUAUGCGAUGAUUCUACACCUGUACAGCUUAGCCCUACAAUUUGAAGCACAAUGUUGAAGCCCUUGCUGAUGAGGGAGCCCUGUGGCUACAGCAUCACUGAGAGCUGGUGUGUUGUAGCAGACUAAAUUGUGUGCAGGAAAGUUCCCCAGUUCACUUUAGCUAUAAAAUCACUUGGCAGCAAGGCACUAUCCCCAUAUUCAACAGAUGGAGAUUUCACCUUCAUGCUGGCCAAACUCCCACCUGUUGAAUUUCAGCCUGCCAUUCAGCUCUCUGUAGGGAGGGGGAAGGAAAUGGAUUCAGUUUGCAUUUUGUAGAAUCAUAGCACUGUAGAGCUGGAAGUACCCAAGGGGUCAUCUAGUCCAACCCCCUGCAAUGCAGGAAUUACAGCUAAAGAACUCCCGACAGGUGUCCGUCCAGCUUCUGUUUCAAAACCUCCAGUGAAGGAGAGUCCACUACCUCCCGAGGUGCUGGAUAUAUCAAAUUUGCAGUUUGCAAAAUGAAACGUGUAAUUGCCUUGAGACAGUUCUUUAGAAGGCAAUAAAUAAACCAGUGGUGAUGAUUAUAACCUCAGUUCCUUUCCUGAUCAGUCUCUGCCUGCUCAGAACCCAUCCGUACAUAACAGCAAAGCGUCACUUUGCUGUUGUAUUUAUACCGUAGUUCAUGUGCUGUUUGAUUUCAUGGCUGCCCAUUCACCUAUCUGAGAGAGAACUUUCCUUCUGAAAGUUCAGCACCCUGCUCCCCUGCUGUAAUGUAAAUUGACUGAAAACAUGCAUGAUGCUGACGUUUUUAUUUUUAUCUUCACUCCGUAUCCUAAUUUCAAAACUGCUGUGUGGUUCUUAUUCUGAUUGGUGUCUUUAGUCUGAGGUUAGCUCUCUUAUUUUGCAUUAAAAGAUAUGAGAGAGCCAGCCGGUAGGCUCCCAAGUUAAUAAAAAGGACCAAAAUGAAGUCAUUGGUAAACACAUUGUUCACGACACAUAGAUGCUCUCCUGUGAAUUGCAUCCAGGUCAUGAGCAGUCUUAAUACAAGCUGGCAGA